UACGUAGGGUGCGAGCGUUAAUCGGAAUUACUGGGCGUAAAGCGUGCGCAGGCGGUUGUGCAAGACAGAUGUGAAAUCCCCGGGCUUAACCUGGGAACUGCAUUUGUGACUGUACGGCUGGAGUGCGGCAGAGGGGGAUGGAAUUCCGCGUGUAGCAGUGAAAUGCGUAGAUAUGCGGAGGAACACCGAUGGCGAGGGCAAUCCCCUGGGCCUGCACUGACGCUCAUGCACGAAAGCGUGGGGAGCAAACAGG
rnacentral:rRNA from 1 species